rnacentral:rRNA from 1 species
UACGUAGGUCCCGAGCGUUGUCCGGAUUUAUUGGGCAUAAAGCGAGCGCAGGUGGUUUAUUAAGUCUGGUGUAAAAGGCAGUGGCUCAACCAUUGUAUGCAUUGGAAACUGGUAGACUUGAGUGCAGGAGAGGAGAGUGGAAUUCCAUGUGUAGCGGCGAAAUGCGUAGAUAUAUGGAGGAACACCGGUGGCGAAAGCGGCUCUCUGGCCUGUAACUGACACUGAGGCUCGAAAGCGUGGGGAGCAAACAGG